rnacentral:rRNA from 1 species
AUUGAACGCUGGCGGCAGGCCUAACACAUGCAAGUCGAACGAGUGGCGGACGGGUGAGUAAUGUCUGGGGAACUGCCUGAUAGAGGGGGAUAACUACUGGAAACGGUGGCUAAUACCGCAUACUAUCAGAUGAACCCAUAUGGGAUUAGCUAGUUGGUGGGGUAACGGCUCACCUCGGCGACGAUCCCUAGCUGGUCUGAGAGGAUGAUCAGCCACACUGGAACUGAGACACGGCCCAGACUCCUACGGGAGGCAGCAGUGGGGAAUAUUGCACAAUGGGCGCAAGCCUGAUGCAGCCAUGCCGCGUGUAUGAAGAAGGCCUUAGGGUUGUAAAGUACUUUCAGCGGGGAGGCGUUACCCGCAGAAGAAGCACCGGCUAACUCCGUGCCAGCAGCCGCGGUAAUUC